rnacentral:rRNA from 1 species
UACGUAGGGUGCAAGCGUUGUCCGGAAUUAUUGGGCGUAAAGAGCUCGUAGGCGGUCUGUCGCGUCGGCUGUGAAAACCCGAGGCUCAACCUCGGGCCUGCAGUCGAUACGGGCAAACUAGAGUACUGCAGGGGAGACUGGAAUUCCUGGUGUAGCGGUGAAAUGCGCAGAUAUCAGGAGGAACACCGGUGGCGAAGGCGGGUCUCUGGGCAGUAACUGACGCUGAGGAGCGAAAGCGUGGGGCGCGAACAGG